rnacentral:tRNA from 1 species
UCUAAUGUGGCAGAUUUAAUUGCGAAGAAUUUAAGAUUCUUUUAUAAAUAAACUUAUUUUUUUAGAA